rnacentral:tRNA from 1 species
UGGCACAGUUGGUAGAGCAUGGUGUUUGCAACGCCAGGGUUGUGGGUUUGAUUCCCAC